rnacentral:lncRNA from 1 species
AAAUUGCAAACUCGGCAAACACAAAUACUGUGCCUAAAUUGUAUAGAUCUGUGAUUGAAGAUGUUAUUAAUGACGUACGAGACAUUUUUUUCUGGGUGAUGGAGUGGAGGAACAGGUCCUGAUGGAACUAAAAACUUUGUGAGAGAAUAAAGUAAUGUAGUCUAGGGCAGUGGAUGGAUUUCAUUGGAAGAAGAGCAGCUUUUGUUGCAAGUUCAGCAGCAGCAUCACCACCACCAUCAGCGAGCCCAGCAUCAGCAUCAGCAUCGCAUCUCCACCACCAUCAGCCAGCACAGCAUCAGCAAGCACAGACCCAGCAGGUUCUUAUUCCUGCAUCACAGCAAGCUAUAGCACCACAAGUUACUGUUCCUAAAUUGAUACAACAUAGGAAUCCAUCAAGUAUUACGAGUGCUGCCGGCGUAACUCCUGUUCAACAGAGACUAACAACUUCAGGCCAGCUGCUUCAGGUGGUCAGAGCAGCCAAUGGUGCCCAGUGUAUCUUUCAGCCUGAGCAGUCAUUUGUUCUACAAGCUAUACCACAAAUGCAGCCUGGUGGAGUACAAGUGCCUGUUAUCCAGCAGGUCCUACCCCACUUCCUGGAGGGAUGUCACUACAGACAGGCGUCAUCAUCCAGCCACAGCAAAUCUUAUUUAUAGGAAAUAAGCCUCAGGUCAUUCCUACAACCAUGGCAGCACCCACAGCAGCACAAGCACAGAUGCCUGCAGCUGGACAGCAGCAGCCACAGGCCCAGCCUGCCCAACAGCAAGCUCUGUUGUGCUGCAAGUUGAUGGAACAGGGCAUACAUCUCCUGAGGAAGAUGGAGAUGAAGACUGUGAUGAUGAGGAGGAGGAAGAGAAAGAUGGAGUUGAUGAUGGGCAGGUGGAAGAAGAGCCCCUCAAGAGUGAAGAUGUUGUAAGUGAUGAGGAAGGGCAGAACUCUUUGACACAGAAAAUGUUGUUGUAUGCCAGUACUUAUAAGAUACACAGAAGUAUAAAUGGAAAUUUCAUCUCAAGGAUGGCGUUAUGAAUCUUAACGGAAGAGAUUAUAUAUUUUCCAAAGCCAUUGGAGAUGCAGA